rnacentral:rRNA from 1 species
AGUGAACGCUGGCGGUAGGCCUAACACAUGCAAGUCGAACGGCAGCACAGUAAGAGCUUGCUCUUACGGGUGGCGAGUGGCGGACGGGUGAGGAAUACAUCGGAAUCUACUUUUUCGUGGGGGAUAACGUAGGGAAACUUACGCUAAUACCGCAUACGACCUACGGGUGAAAGCAGGGGAUCUUCGGACCUUGCGCGAUUGAAUGAGCCGAUGUCGGAUUAGCUAGUUGGCGGGGUAAAGGCUCACCAAGGCGACGAUCCGUAGCUGGUCUGAGAGGAUGAUCAGCCACACUGGAACUGAGACACGGUCCAGACUCCUACGGGAGGCAGCAGUGGGGAACAUUGGACAAUGGGCGCAAGCCUGAUCCAGCCAUACCGCGUGGGUGAAGAAGGCCUUCGGGUUGUAAAGCCCUUUUGUUGGGAAAGAAAAGCAGCAGGUUAAUACCCCGCUGUUCUGACGGUACCCAAAGAAUAAGCACCGGCUAACUUCGUG